ensembl:lncRNA
CUUUAACCCCCAGACAGAUUAGAUGUAGUAUCCUCUCUUUAACCCCCAGACAGAUGUAGAUGUAUCCCUCUCUUUUACCCCCAGACAGAUUAGAUGUAGUAUCCCUCUCUUUUACCCCAGACAGAUUAGAUGUAGUAUCCCGUCUUAACCCCCAGACAGAUUAGAUGUAGUAUCCCUCUCUUUACCCCCAGACAGAUUACAUGUAGUAUCCCCUCGCUUCACCCCCAGACAGAUUACAUGUAGAUCUCUUUACCCCCAGACAGAUUACAUGUAGUAUCUCUUAAUCCAACGAUUACAUGUAUCUCUUUAACCCCAGACAGAUUAGAUGUAGUAUCCCUCUCUUUCCCCAGACAGAUUACAUGUAGAUCUCUUUAACCCCAGACAGAUUAGUGUGAGAUCCUCUAUUACCCCAGACAGAGACAUGUAGUACCUCCUCUUAACCACAGACAGAUUACUGUAGUAUCUCUUUUAACCCCCAGACAGAUUAAAUGUAGUAUCUCUUUAACCCCAGACAGAUUAGAUGUAGUACCCCUCUUUAACCCCAGACAGAUUAGAUGUAGUAUCUCUUUAACCCCCAGACAGAUUAGAUGUAGUAUCUCUUUAACCCCAGACAGAUUAGAUGUAGUACUCCUCUUUAACCCCCUGACAGUGGUCUCAGACAGCAUGCAGUACCAACCCGGGAGGCUGUAGAGGCCUGGAAGGCAGGGUGGGACAGGGCCUACUUGUGAGUCCUCACUAAGACACUGAAGAGGCUGUCCUGCUGUGCUAGCAGGUUGACUGCAGAGUCACACUCCACUAGCUGCCCCGCGGAGAACACCAGCACCUGUUCAGCCUCCAAGAUGGAGGACACCAGGUGCUGGGUGGCAGAACGGAGAGAAGGAACCAAGGAUAGAUGGGAAGACAGAAGGAGAGGAGCAAGGACAGACAGACAGGGAAAACAAGGAAAAGAAGACAGGUGAAAGAAGGACAGCAGACAAGCUGUUUGAGUCUCRAGAGGCUAACGUGUCGAUUCAGAGUUGAGAUCUGCAGCACGCUUAACUUAAAUAUCCAUCAAUCUCCCACUGACAUCAAUCAAUUAUUUACAGGAAUGUUCGAGUUGCGCCUUAUCUCAACUCUGAAUCGGUCCAUAAAUGCAUUUGGAGGCGUGAGAAGCAUUUGGAGAUAUGAGAAGCAUCUGGAGAUAUGAGAAGCAUYUGGAGAUAUGAGAAGCAGAGGUACAGUAUGAUGAAACAGGAGACAUUGGAAAGAUAGGAUGAAGGAGAGGAGGAAAUCUAAAAGCCAGGAGAAAUCAGCUAGUCCUAGUCUCUAUGCUUUCUCCAAGGAUUGAUCCAUAGAGAGAGAGAGCAGACCAAGAGGAGUCUCCACAUCUAUACAGAGAAUACCUUCCAGAUCUGACCUUUCCACCUAAUGACCUACAGGCUGCAACAGACUUACUGCAAUAGUGACGACUGUUCGGUCGGCGAAGGCUGUCAUCACCACCUUCUGUAAGACAUUCUCCUAUAGGGGUGAGAAAUGACAUGUAGGUCAGCCCUUUUGGUCGUGGACCAAAUGGGACCCUAUUCCUUG